rnacentral:rRNA from 1 species
UGCAAGUCGAACGAUGAAGCCCAGCUUGCUGGGUGGAUUAGUGGCGAACGGGUGAGUAACACGUGAGCAACCUGCCCCUGACUCUGGGAUAACAGCCGGAAACGGUUGCUAAUACCGGAUAUGCAUCAUGGCCGCAUGGUCUGUGGUGGGAAAGAUUUUUCGGUUGGGGAUGGGCUCGCGGCCUAUCAGCUUGUUGGUGAGGUAGUGGCUCACCAAGGCGUCGACGGGUAGCCGGCCUGAGAGGGUGACCGGCCACACUGGGACUGAGACACGGCCCAGACUCCUACGGGAGGCAGCAGUGGGGAAUAUUGCACAAUGGGCGGAAGCCUGAUGCAGCAACGCCGCGUGAGGGAUGACGGCCUUCGGGUUGUAAACCUCUUUUAGCAGGGAAGAAGCGUAAGUGACGGUACCUGCAGAAAAAGCGCCGGCUAACUACGUGCCAGCAGCCGCGGUAAUACGUAGGGCGCAAGCGUUAUCCGGAAUUAUUGGGCGUAAAGAGCUCGUAGGCGGUUUGUCGCGUCUGCUGUGAAAACCCGAGGCUCAACCUCGGGCCUGCAGUGGGUACGGGCAGACUAGAGUGCGGUAGGGGAGAUUGGAAUUCCUGGUGUAGCGGUGGAAUGCGCAGAUAUCAGGAGGAACACCGAUGGCGAAGGCAGAUCUCUGGGCCGUUACUGACGCUGAGGAGCGAAAGGGUGGGGA